GGUUCGCUGCCCGCGACGUCGCGAGAAGUCCACUGAACCUUAUCAUUUAGAGGAAGGAGAAGUCGUAACAAGGUAUCCGUAGGUGAACCUGCAGAAGGAUCAUUG
rnacentral:ncRNA from 1 species